rnacentral:rRNA from 1 species
AGGGCACCACCAGGAGUGGAGCCAGCGGCUUAAUUUGACUCAACACGGGAAACCUCACCAGGUCCGGACACUGGAAGGAUGGACAGAUUGAGAGCUCUUUCUAGAUUCAGUGGGUGGUGGUGCAUGGCCGUUCUUAGUCGGUGGAGUGAUUUGUCUGCUUAAUUGCGAUAACGGACGAGACUCUUACCGGGUAGUUAUAUGAACAGGAGUUUUAGGUAGCGUCUGGCUUCACGGCUACGCUGCCUGCUCACUCCUCAUACCCCUACCGGAACAGGCGGCUUCGAAGCCGUACGAGAAAGAGCAAUAACAGGUCUGUGAUGCCCUUAGAUGUUCUGGGCUGCACGCGCGCUACAAUGAAGGGAUCAGCGUGUUUUCGCAGUUGGCGGUGUGGUGGCGGCAACACUGCCUCGCUCGUCAACUCUCCCUACUCUGAAGAGAGCGGGAAAUCAUGACAAUUCCUUUCGUGAUAGGGAUAGGGCAUUGCAAUUAUUGCCCUUGAACGAGGAAUUCCCAGUAAGU